UAAGACAGAGGUGCCAAGCGUUAGGCGGAAUCACUGGGCUUAAAGCGUGUGUAGGCGGACUUCUAAGUGCCUUGUGAAAUCCCACGGCUCAACCGUGGAACUGCUGGGCAUACUGGGAGUCUUGAGCCACUUAGGGGCAACCGGAACAAACGGUGGAGCGGUGAAAUGCGUAGAUAUCGUUUGGAACGCCAAUGGUGAAAACAGGUUGCUGGGAGUGUGCUGACGCUGAGACACGAAAGCCAGGGGAGCGAACGGGAUUAGAUACCCCGGUAGUCCUGGCCGUAAACGAUGUCGACUAGAUCGUGGGUUCUCUGACGUUCUCACGGUCGAAGCAAAAGUGCUAAGUCGACCGCCUGGGAAGUACGGUCGCAAGGCUA
rnacentral:rRNA from 1 species